GACGAACGCUGGCGGCGUGCUUAACACAUGCAAGUCGAACGGAAAGGCCCUGCUUUGGUGGGGUGCUCGAGUGGCGAACGGGUGAGUAACACGUGAGUAACCUGCCCUUGACUUUGGGAUAACUUCAGGAAACUGGGGCUAAUACCGGAUAGGAGCUCCUGCUGCAUGGUGGGGGUUGGAGAGUUUCGGCGGUUGGGGAUGGACUCGCGGCUUCUCAGCUUGUGUGUGGGGUAGUGGCAUCCCAAGGCUUUGGCGGGUAGCCGGCCUGAGAGGGUGCCCGGCCACUGUGGCACUGAUAUACGGCCCAGACUCCUACGGGGGGCAGCAGGGGGGAAUAUUGCACAAUGGGCGGAAGCCUGAUGCAGCAACGCCGCGUGCGGGAUGACGGCCUUCGGGUUGUAAUCCGCUUUCGCCUGUGACGAAGCGUGAGUGACGGUAAUGGGUAAAGAAGCACCGGCUAACUACGUG
rnacentral:rRNA from 1 species